UCAACAGUGGCACAGCGUUUUAGGCACUAAAAAAAAAGACAAAAAAGCUUUUUGCCUUGAACAAUGUCGCCGCGUCCCUACUGCAGCACUGAAGGGUACAUUGUAGUGCAGCACACACACAUACAUAUAUCACAGCGUGCGUUUACCGUUGCUUGGUCGCCAACAAAGUUCAGCGUGCCCUAGCGAACACACACAUGUACAUUUCCUGCAACUCAUCUACCCACACGUUUACCGUUCCUGGCAAAAUUAUAGAACGAAGCGUAUAAAACUGGAUAAAAUCUUGGAGGUUCCUGUUGAGAUCCAAACAAAAAGUUGAAACUGCUAGAUAUUGACGAAAUUUGUACUUCGUUGACAAAACGAAAUUAAUGAGGGAGAUCUCAGACUGGAAUCUCGUCAUCGAAAAAUGAAAUAAAACCCAUGGAGCAGAGUUUUUGAAAGCAUGGCCAAAUUAUGCUGAUUCGCGGGCGUCGGAAUUGAUUCAAAUCUUUAGCCAAAGCAAAUUGAUAACUUACAAAACUAAUUAUUGUUUAGCUAUUAAGAUUGGUAAUACUCUAAGACUGUUUAAAGUACUUCCUUUCGUUUAUGAAUUGACAAUGUAGCCUGUAAUGCUAUAGAAGUUAAAACGUUCUGCAACCAUAUGCAGGCAUAUGAAUGCGGAAUAAUUAAAAAUGUAUUAGUUCUUAAAAACAUUGAAGACUUUUCAAGCCAUCCAAUGCACAUGUAUGAUGUAAGUGAUAAAAAAUAUGUUGUAUACAGAUCUCUGUAAAAUAAAUAUAAGUAUAAAUGAAUUAUUUGUACCUUCCAGCAAGCCAUUAUGAGAAAGAAAUGUUUAAA